rnacentral:rRNA from 1 species
GGGUUGUGAGGUUAAGCGACUAAGCGUACACGGUGGAUGCCCUGGCAGUCAGAGGCGAUGAAGGACGUGCUAAUCUGCGAUAAGCGUCGGUAAGGUGAUAUGAACCGUUAUAACCGGCGAUUUCCGAAUGGGGAAACCCAGUGUGUUUCGACACACUAUCAUUAACUGAAUCCAUAGGUUAAUGAGGCGAACCGGGGGAACUGAAACAUCUAAGUACCCCGAGGAAAAGAAAUCAACCGAGAUUCCCCCAGUAGCGGCGAGCGAACGGGGAGCAGCCCAGAGCCUGAAUCAGUGUGUGUGUUAGUGGAAGCGUCUGGAAAGGCGCGCGAUACAGGGUGACAGCCCCGUACACAAAAAUGCACAUGCUGUGAGCUCGAUGAGUAGGGCGGGACACGUGGUAUCCUGUCUGAAUAUGGGGGGACCAUCCUCCAAGGCUAAAUACUCCUGACUGACCGAUAGUGAACCAGUACCGUGAGGGAAAGGCGAAAAGAACCCCGGCGAGGGGAGUGAAAAAGAACCUGAAACCGUGUACGUACAAGCAGUGGGAGCACGCUUAGGCGUGUGACUGCGUACCUUUUGUAUAAUGGGUCAGCGACUUAUAUUCUGUAGCAAGGUUAACCGAAUAGGGGAGCCGAAGGGAAACCGAGUCUUAACUGGGCGUUAAGUUGCAGGGUAUAGACCCGAAACCCGGUGAUCUAGCCAUGGGCAGGUUGAAGGUUGGGUAACACUAACUGGAGGACCGAACCGACUAAUGUUGAAAAAUUAGCGGAUGACUUGUGGCUGGGGGUGAAAGGCCAAUCAAACCGGGAGAUAGCUGGUUCUCCCCGAAAGCUAUUUAGGUAGCGCCUCGUGAAUUCAUCUCCGGGGGUAGAGCACUGUUUCGGCAAGGGGGUCAUCCCGACUUACCAACCCGAUGCAAACUGCGAAUACCGGAGAAUGUUAUCACGGGAGACACACGGCGGGUGCUAACGUCCGUCGUGAAGAGGGAAACAACCCAGACCGCCAGCUAAGGUCCCAAAGUCAUGGUUAAGUGGGAAACGAUGUGGGAAGGCCCAGACAGCCAGGAUGUUGGCUUAGAAGCAGCCAUCAUUUAAAGAAAGCGUAAUAGCUCACUGGUCGAGUCGGCCUGCGCGGAAGAUGUAACGGGGCUAAACCAUGCACCGAAGCUGCGGCAGCGACACUAUGUGUUGUUGGGUAGGGGAGCGUUCUGUAAGCCUGUGAAGGUGUGCUGUGAGGCAUGCUGGAGGUAUCAGAAGUGCGAAUGCUGACAUAAGUAACGAUAAAGCGGGUGAAAAGCCCGCUCGCCGGAAGACCAAGGGUUCCUGUCCAACGUUAAUCGGGGCAGGGUGAGUCGACCCCUAAGGCGAGGCCGAAAGGCGUAGUCGAUGGGAAACAGGUUAAUAUUCCUGUACUUGGUGUUACUGCGAAGGGGGGACGGA